CGACCAUCUUGAUGCCAAAGCUCAUUUUAUCAAAAGUGUCAGUUUGCUGCCUUUCUUUGGAUUUGAUGUAUUCACUGCUCAGAAAGUCAGUCAUCGCAGCUGCCCGUCUCCCUCCCUGGUCGCAGUCAGCCAUGAAGUUAUCAAAAUCAUUGAUCCCAAAUCACAGAACGAAUGUUUGACAAUGUCUCUGGAGGACGUGCAGUCCUUGCGCUCAGUCCGUCCCAAGAAAGACAAGCUGCCAUCGGUUGAGAUCACCUUUAGUGGCCAAACUCAACCCAAGACUGUCAGCUUCAGUCUAAAGCAGGCGAAAGAGCUGUGCCACACCAUUGCUGUGAUUAUGGAAGAGGUUGUGAAACCCCCCUACAGCAAUAUGUCCAGUCGAACCGGAACCCCACAUUGAACAAGCAACAUAUUCAAAGCUCA